rnacentral:lncRNA from 1 species
CUUUUCGAGGUAGGAGUCGACUCCUGUGAGGUAUGGUGCUGGGUGCAGAUGCAGUGUGGCUCUGGAUAGCACCUUAUGGACAGUUGUGUCCCCAAGGAAGGAUGAGAAUAGCUACUGAAGUCCUAAAGAGCAAGCCUAACUCAAGCCAUUGGCACACAGGCAUUAGACAGAAAGCUGGAAGUUGAAAUGGUGGAGUCCAACUUGCCUGGACCAGCUUAAUGGUUCUGCUCCUGGUAACGUUUUUAUCCAUGGAUGACUUGCUUGGGUAAGGACAUGAAGACAGUUCCUGUCAUACCUUUUAAAGGCAGACCUGUUAUCCUAAACUAGGGUUUUUAAUGACCACAACAAGCAAGCAUGCAGCUUACUGCUUGAAAGGGUCUUGCCUCACCCAAGCUAGAGUGCAGUGGCCUUUGAAGCUUACUACAGCCUCAAACUUCUGGGCUCAAGUGAUCCUCAGCCUCCCAGUGGUCUUUGUAGACUGCCUGAUGGAGUCUCAUGGCACAAGAAGAUUAAAACAGUGUCUCCAAUUUUAAUAAAUUUUUGCAAUCCA